rnacentral:rRNA from 1 species
UACGAGGGGGGCGAGCGUUGUUCGGAAUUAUUGGGCGUAAAGGGUGCGUAGGCGGUUUGGUAAGUCUUAUGUGAAAUCUACAGGCUCAACUUGUAGUCUGCAUGAGAAACUGCCGGGCUUGAGUAUGGGAGAGGUGAGCGGAAUUCCCGGUGUAGCGGUGAAAUGCGCAGAUAUCGGGAAGAACACCCGUGGCGAAGGCGGCUCUCUGGGACGGUACUGACGCUGAGACGCGAAAGCGUGGGGAGCGAACAGG